AGUUAUUGGAANGGGNNCAAUUUNAACCCCUUUUAACGAGUNUUUANUAAAAAGGCCAGUUNUGGUCCNANCANCCCNCGGUAAUUCCAGCUUCUCAAAAUGCANAAAAUUAUUGCUGCGGUUAAAAAGCUCGAGUUGGAUUUGCGCCGACUGGCNGGUCCCCNUUUUGGGUGCGUACUGGUUCGGUUGGCUUUUCCGCCGGAGUGCCUGGCGUUGGUGUGCUCGCAAGGGUGUGCCAGCGCGGGUCCGGCAAGUUUACUUUGAACAAAUCAGAGUGCUUCAAACAGGCGUCUCGCCUGAAUGUUCGUGCAUGGAAUAAUAGAAGAGGAUUUCGGUCCGAUUUUAUUGGUUUUGCUGACCGAGAUAAUGGUUAACAGAGACAAACGGGGCCAUUCGUAUUGCUGCGUGAGAGGUGAAAUUCUUGGACCGUAGCAAGACGGACUACAGCGAAAGCAUUUGGCAAGAAUGUCUUCAUUAAUCAAGAACGAAAGUCAGAGGUUCGAAGGCGAUCAGAUACCGCCCUAGUUCUGACCGUAAACGAUGCCAACUAGCGAUCCGCCGGCGGAUUCAUUCGCCCUGGUGGGGAGCUUCCCGGAAACGAAAGUCUUCCGGUUCCGGGGGAAGUAUGGUUGCAAAGCUGAAACUUAAAGGAAUUGACGGAAGGGCACCACCAGGAGUGGAGCCUGCGGCUUAAUUUGACUAAGGGC
rnacentral:rRNA from 1 species